AGGGCACCACCAGGAGUGGAGCCUGCGGCUUAAUUUGACUCAACACGGGAAAACUCACCCGGCCCGGACACCGGAAGGAUUGACAGAUUGAGAGCUCUUUCUUGAUUCAGUGGGUGGUGGUGCAUGGCCGUUCUUAGUUGGUGGAGCGAUUUGUCUGGUUAAUUCCGAUAACGAACGAGACUCUAGCCUACUAAAUAGAUCGCCGGCUUACCCACGCCGGCGAGACUUCUUAGAGGGACAGGUGGCGUUUCAGCCACACGAAACAGAGCAAUAACAGGUCUGUGAUGCCCUUAGAUGUCCGGGGCCGCACGCGCGCUACACUGAAGGAAUCAGCGUGUGUACCCUGUCCGAAAGGACUGGGAAACCCGUUGAACCUCCUACGUGAUGGGGAUUGGGGAUUGAAAUUAUUCCCCAUGAACGAGGAAUUCCCAGUAGGCGCGAGUCAUAAGCUUGCGUCGAUUACGUCCCUGCCCUUUGUACACACCGCCCGUCGCUACUACCGAUCGAGUGAUUUAGUGA
rnacentral:rRNA from 1 species